rnacentral:rRNA from 1 species
GUCUUUGUGGGAGUUCAUAUAAAGUGUAGCCUGCCCAAUGAUAUGAAAUUUAAUGGCCAUGGUAUUUUGACCGUGCAAAGGUAGCAUAAUAAUUAGUCUUUUAAUUGAAGGCAGGAAAUAAAGGUUGAACAAAAUCUUUAUAUUUGGGUUUAUCAAACAAAACAAUUGAAUUAUUUUUAUUUGAUAGACAUAAGUAUUUUGUUGGGGCGACAAGAAUAUAAAUUGUAACUGUUUUAUAAACGUGGUUAAGGAUGUUUAAUUAAGUGAUCCAUUAGAAAAGAUGUUAGUUUAAGUUACUUUAGGGAUAAGAGCGUAAUUUUUUUUGAGAGUUCAUAUUGAAAAGAAAGUUUGUGACCUCAAUGUUGAAUUAAAGACCCUUCAUGGAUGCAGAAAUUAUGAGAAGGAGGUCCUGUUCGACCUUUAAAUCUUUACAUGAUUGAGGUCAGACCAGCAUAAG